GCAGUCGAACGAUGAUCCGGUGCUUGCACCGGGGAUUAGUGGCGAACGGGUGAGUAACACGUGAGUAACCUGCCCUUGACUCUGGGAUAAGCCUGGGAAACUGGGUCUAAUACCGGAUAUGACUCCUCAUCGCAUGGUGGGGGGUGGAAAGCUUUUGUGGUUUUGGAUGGACUCGCGGCCUAUCAGCUUGUUGGUGAGGUAAUGGCUCACCAAGGCGACGACGGGUAGCCGGCCUGAGAGGGUGACCGGCCACACUGGGACUGAGACACGGCCCAGACUCCUACGGGAGGCAGCAGUGGGGAAUAUUGCACAAUGGGCGCAAGCCUGAUGCAGCGACGCCGCGUGAGGGAUGACGGCCUUCGGGUUGUAAACCUCUUUCAGUAGGGAAGAAGCGAAAGUGACGGUACCUGCAGAAGAAGCGCCGGCUAACUACGUGCCAGCAGCCGCGGUAAUACGUAGGGCGCAAGCGUUAUCCGGAAUUAUUGGGCGUAAAGAGCUCGUAGGCGGUUUGUCGCGUCUGCCGUGAAAGUCCGGGGCUCAACUCCGGAUCUGCGGUGGGUACGGGCAGACUAGAGUGAUGUAGGGGAGACUGGAAUUCCUGGUGUAGCGGUGAAAUGCGCAGAUAUC
rnacentral:rRNA from 1 species